rnacentral:rRNA from 1 species
GCUCCACCGGAAAAAGAGGAGUGGCGAACGGGUGAGUAACACGUGGGUAACCUGCCCAUCAGAAGGGGAUAACACUUGGAAACAGGUGCUAAUACCGUAUAACAAUCGAAACCGCAUGGUUUUGAUUUGAAAGGCGCUUUCGGGUGUCGCUGAUGGAUGGACCCGCGGUGCAUUAGCUAGUUGGUGAGGUAACGGCUCACCAAGGCCACGAUGCAUAGCCGACCUGAGAGGGUGAUCGGCCACAUUGGGACUGAGACACGGCCCAAACUCCUACGGGAGGCAGCAGUAGGGAAUCUUCGGCAAUGGACGAAAGUCUGACCGAGCAACGCCGCGUGAGUGGAGAAGGUUUUCGGAUCGUAAAACUCUGUUGUUAGAGAAGAACAAGGAUGAGAGUAACUGUUCAUCCCUUGACGGUAUCUAACCAGAAAGCCACGGCUAACUACGUGCCAGCAGCCGCGGUAAUACGUAGGUGGCAAGCGUUGUCCGGAUUUAUUGGGCGUAAAGCGAGCGCAGGCGGUUUCUUAAGUCUGAUGUGAAAGCCCCCGGCUCAACCGGGGAGGGUCAUUGGAAACUGGGAGACUUGAGUGCAGAAGAGGAGAGUGGAAUUCCAUGUGUAGCGGUGAAAUGCGUAGAUAUAUGGAGGAACACCAGUGGCGAAGGCGGCUCUCUGGUCUGUAACUGACGCUGAGGCUCGAAGCGUGGGGAGCAAACA